UAGGGAAUCCUCCACAAUGGACGCAAGUCUGAUGGAGCAACGCCGCGUGAGUGAAGAAGGUCUUCGGAUCGUAAAGCUCUGUUGUUAAAGAAGAACACGUAUGAGAGUAACUGUUCAUACGUUGACGGUAUUUAACCAGAAAGUCACGGCUAACUACGUGCCAG
rnacentral:rRNA from 1 species